AGCAGAAGACACACGGCAGGGGGUGGGAAAGACAAGGCCGGGAAGAGGUGUGCCCCCCGGCCCCCCGGGUCUCACCUCCACCUGAGCACAGCAGUACCACCAGCAGAGCAGCAGCCUUCAUCCUGGCACCUGGCACCUCCCAGAGAGCUCCGGGCUGGGCUGGGCUGGCCCUUAUGUAGCUGGCACUCUCCUCAGUGGGCUCCAGCCCGCCUCCCCCUCCCCCGGCCAGUCAGUCACCUCUGUCCUGGACACGCCUCCCAGCUCCCCCUGCCAGCUGCACCCACACCCGAGGAGGCUCAGACAAGUCAUGUAGGGAGCACCCGGCGGGCCCCUCAAGUCUCCCACCAAGGGCAGAGGCAAGGGGGCCUGGACUCACUAGGUCCUUCUGGGGUCUUUGGGGCAAAGGUGGUUGAGAGGAGGCAGCAGCCCCGAGCGCCUCUCGGAACGUGGAGGGCGCGAAGUCUCCGUGUUGAUCUUACCCCGACAGUCCCACGUCUGUCCAAGAGAAGCACCUGCCGUAGAGCGGGCUCGAGUACGGGUGCUCAGAGAGGUUGCACCCCGCUCUUCGGUGGCUUCGGAGACCAGGGCCCCUUAGGCAGACACCCCGGAGCUCUUGAGGAGCAGAGGCGCCCACGGGGCCUGGGCGCGGAGCUGCCAAGGGGACAGGGCGGAGUGAGGGGGCAGGACCCUCAGGGACGUGGGGCUUCUGGCCCGUGGGCAAAUGGAGGGAGCAGCAAGGGGAAGCCGCAGAAUGGCAGGCGGCUGCGCGGGGAGAGACGAGCAUGCGGAGCAUGCCACACCCACUGGGACGACAGCCGAAGGGGAUUGAGAGUGACCCUGGGCCCCCGGCAGGGGGCCAGGCUGGAGGUGAGAGCAGCAGAGCAGAGGGACCCCAGGAGAGGCGAUUGGGGUAGAUUGGCUGAUUUUUUUGGCUUAAGAGCCAUGAGAGGAAAAAGUGGAGGGGCCACCGUGGGGGCCGCAGGCCAGAGGGCUUUGUUCAAGGACACCUGUGUAAUAAGGCCAUAA
rnacentral:lncRNA from 12 species